CCAGACCCUUGGCUGUCACAUUUAAGGCCGUGGAUUGUUUUCUGACUUCUGGUUUCAAACAGCCUGGGAGCAGCAUGGAUGGCAUAUGGACUCACGAGUAAGGUUUUGUUUAAUGGCCACGAGCACCAUCUCUCCACGCCUUCUCCCGUGGCUGCUGCCAGGCAGCGUGUUCAAACAGCGGCAGCUGCAUAUCUGCCCAGGCAGUUCUGGUUCUUGCAUUUAUUCAAAUAAUUUGGAUGCAGAUUUUCUUUCUCUUUCAAGCACUGAAUAUGAUUCAAGUUCCAAAUAUCCGUUAUUAUUUCACCUGCCUUGAAAUGGGAAUUGUAAGCACUCUGAUAAGUGAUUUGAAAGACUGUCUAAUUUCCGUAACAACCUCUGUCAGCUGUUAACUUCCAAUUUUAUAACAUCUAAAACAUUCUGAAAUUCCUCUGUGCAUAUCCCUGAGUGAGCUGACAGCCACGUGGCCCCUGCAUCAGUUCUGUCAAGAAAGAAGGAAAGAAAGAAAGAAAGAAAGAAAGAAAGAAAGAAAGAAAGAAAGAAAGAAAGAAAGAAAGAAAAGGAACUAUUUUUCUCUUUCUCUGGCAGUGGAAGAAUACUGCUCUCAAAGCCCAGCAUGCAUGAAUAGAGUGUCUUUUUCCACAGAUUAGAAAUCACAAGGGAUUCCAUCACAAUGCAUUAAAGAUCUUUGUGUGUUUGUAUAAAAGAUGCAAAUAUUCCAGUUAAGAUGGAAGCUCCCUUUGUUCCUCUGCUGAGUCCCACCCACUCUCCUCCCUCCUUCCCUGCUGAGGCAGAGAAGAAGCCAAGCUGCAUUUGAUACUUGAAUACUUGGAUUCACAUCUUCUUGCUGCAUCACCUUGGGCAAAUUCUUUAAUCACCCUGAUCUUCAUUUAUCUAUUUGGGAUCCCGAUGAUUCACCUCCAGGGCCCUGGCCUUGACCAUGCUGCAGGAACAACAUUGAAAGGUAACACUGUAUUCCUAGUAUUUUAAUAUUUUGCUAAUUUCCUGAAGGGAAAGACCAUAUCUUGCUGUU